CAUAUAAUAAAAAUCAAGAAGUAUUGUUCCUCAAGCCAAUGGCCUACACAAAAAAAAGUUCUUUUGUCGUGAUGGUUUUGGUGUUGUAUAUUUGCAUGAUAUGUGUUCCGAUUUUAGGUAUGGCAUCAUUCCUCAACUUUUGGGUAUUUUAGAAAAAUUUACCAUAAAGCAUGAUAUAAUUAAAACAUCUAUAUUGAAUUUUCAUCUAUACAGCUCUUGGCCCAGCAUGUUUUGGACGGUGUGACGCAAUCAGCAUCGAUUGCUUACAGCUUUGCCAAGAACUAGCUUUUGCUACAGGUUCAUGCGAAGCAGGGCCUUCAUCUCAGUGUUGUUGCCAUGAUUAAAUUACUAUUGUGUUAAUAUCCACUUGUAAGGAAUAUAUAUUCCGUAAACCAUCAAAUAAUGGGUUAAUAAUGAUAAAAUAUUUUCAUGGUAUACUGAUGUUACGUUAAAC
rnacentral:lncRNA from 1 species